rnacentral:lncRNA from 1 species
AUGUGAUCUCUUUCAGUGUUGACCACAUUACUGUCUUUCAUUCACAGGCAUCAGUGGGAGCACAGGUGGGGGCUUAUGGAAGAAGUAAGAAGAGUGGCUUUAUUUACACAAGAAAUAUCUACCCCUUGCCACAUGGCUUACGAUCAACCCAGAAGGCCACAUUACACAUCAGAUGUGUAAUAGGGCAUUGCAAAAUAGGGCAUUGGUGAGAAGGAUUCAUUGGCCCAUCUCAAAAGCCCUUGGAGUAGAUAGUCAUGGCCACCUCUGGCAGCCAUCCUGACAUGUAUUAAGGAGCCCAUUCAGUGGGGUAAGGUGACUGCCUUGGGUGUCAGCAGUGAAAGUUGCACAAAAGUAGGGGAAUAGUGGUAAGGAGUGAGGUUUGAGAGGUCAACAGGGGUCAUAGAUCAGCAGGGUCAAGUAAAAAAAGGGCUGGAAGGAUGGGCAACCCAAGCAGCAGGAACUAUGUGUGGAAAGGCAUGGAGCUUUGAAAGGAGAAGGUGCAUCCAGGAAACAUCGGUUGCUCCCUUGUGGCUGAAAUAACAUGCAUUUAUGGAAUGUCAUGAUAGAAAGUUGGGCACAAGAGCAAACCCAGAGUUCAUUAGCUUCAUAUGUCAAGCAAGAGAAUUUGAGCUCUAUCUGUAAGUCAUGAAGACUUCAUGGAAUAUCUUAAGUAAAAGAUAGACAUGGCUGGAAUUGGGGUUUCAGGAAAAACACUGUGGCAGCAAUGGGAAAGUCAAACUGGAAGACAGAGAAACCAAAUAGAAAGAGGUUAUUUUAAUUAACCAGGAGAUGAUGAGGAUUGUCUCUGAACUCGAUACCAACUGAACUUGGGAAAGGAGCUGUUGGGCUGGAGAGAACACAGUAGACUCUAACAUGUUUCAGGGGCCAAACAGACAGGAUGUUGUGAUUGAUGAAUGUAGGAAUGAGGAUUGGGGAGGAGUCCAGGAUGACUCCCAGCUUCUACCCAUGGUGCCUGGGUGGAGAGCAGUGUCAUUCCUGAAACAGGGAACACAGAAGGAGCAAGUUUGGCAGGAAAGGGGAUCAAUUCAGGCUGGAACUUGCUGAGUUAAAGGAGCUGCAGGACAUAGAACAGGAGGCUCCCAGAAGACAAGGAACAGAUUCAAAAGUUGGGAGUGAAGUUUGGCCUCGAGAAAGUCAUGGAACCCAGAGAGGAUUCUGGAAUGAGAAGAGAGCUAAGAGGAAAACCUAAGAAACACUACAAUUUAAGAAAUGGUUAUGGUAUAAAACUCAAGAAUUGAAAUACAGAAGACCCUAGGAGGAAAGUCCAUCUUCCAAGUAUUGGAAACCACGCCCAAUUCCUUGGCCAAGUUUUCACAAUCCACUAUCCACACACACCCAUAUUCCCUCUUUUCUUUUCCAAUGACAAGUAAAAACACAACCUGCAUCCUCACCACAUGUACAAAGUCCUCGUACAAAAUUUCUCUAGAGCCUAACAUGGGUGCCCUCUUGAGUCAACAAGAAUGAACACUGCCAGUAAGUUUGUAGAAAGUUGACUUCAAGAACAUGACACAUGCUCACAGUAGGAUAUUGCCAAAGGACUGGUCAUGAGAGCCAAUCAGUCACAGCCACCAGCCCUGAAGGACAUGAGUCCAGGAACCUAGAGUUUAGACCUGUAAGCAAUUAAGGGUAGAAAGAUCUUCAAUUUAUUUUUCUCUUCCCCAUUUUCAGGCAGAGAAACUGAUACCCAGAGAAUGAAAGGAUUUUGUCCAAGGUCAGCAGUGAAACCAGUUGACCAGAUCAGUGUGACUAAAUUAUGUCAUGUUGGUUAAAAUGUCCUAAUGGGCAGCACAUUUCUAAAGUUUCUGCCAAUGCAACCAGGCACCAUGGGCACACUUCAGAAACUAAUGAGUCUGCAAUUCCUCCAGCUCAUUCAGAAGCUCCUGGGAUAAGACUCAAUCCUGGUAAGGCAUGGGAGACUGAAGAAAAGGUAGAAGUUAUCACCCUUCAUAGGGCUUAAUGGACUGUGGUUGUCACAUAUCCCUCCCUCUCUGAGGCCACUGGGAUCUGAAUUUGUCCUGGGCAGGGGCUUUGGGGUCAUUUAAUUAUCAUACCAAGGGGACCCAACGAGGGAAUCCAAACUUGUCUUGAAAAAGUGAUUGUCUUCAAAACUAGCCUGUGUCAGAAUUUUCCUUCCCAAAAAUAGCUGUCCAUGGGUUUGCAUUUUCACAGCUCUCUUCUAGGCAUCGGCUUCUGGUCUGACCUUGGUUCAGGACUUCCCCUUUAGAUGGAUGGAUCCAGAUGGGUCUUUCUGAAACCCCCUUUUGACAAUAUCACUCUCUGCUCGGGAGAACCCAGUGCUCUCCUCCACCUACAUGCAACUUAGUAGACAUCCUAGCCACAGCCUGAGCCUACAGCUUUUCCAGCCAUUGCUUCUUUUUGGUUCCCUCAAGUUCUGUCACUUUGGGUGUCUUCCAGUUCCCUGAGCACAAGAGGUAUUUUUAGGCCCCAGUGCCUUUGCACAUGUUUCCUGGAAUACCGUUUUCCUUGUUAUCCACUGAAAGCAACUCCCAUGUAUUCUUAUUUAUUUAAAUUUUUUGCAUCCAGACUUUGAAUUCCUCAAAAACAGUAACUGGUGUCAUAAUCACCUUGUUAUCCCCAGCACAUAGUUCAGGAUUUGUCAACAUGUUGGAAUGAAUGCCUAUGAGCCAAUCAGACUACUUGCCACAGUCAGGAGGAAGAGGAAGGCUGGAGUAGCUGUGAAUAGUACAAGAUGAACCUCCUUAUGAGUGUGAAAGAGGGGGAGCAUCAACAGAGUUACCAUGAAUUGACACAGUGGCCAUGUUUCCACCUGGUGGAGGAAUCCAUUUUUAACUCAAACCAUCCUCGAGAAGUUACUUUUCCUACCAGAGAGGUGGCAGGCUAAGAAUAAUCCCCUUCAUUAAUCCCUCCCAACAACUUGAAUAAUGGAUGGACCACAGGGAGUUUAGAAGCCCAGGUUAAGUUUAUGAGUUGUAAAUGUAGCUCUGGGCACACUGGGUAGGGAGAUAGGGGUGGUCCCUCGAACAGAAAGCCAGGGCAACUAUUUCCCAGAAUAAAUUAGAAGCAUAUCUCCUUAUGAAUACUGGGGAAUGCCAUUGAUGUUCCAUAAAGUAAACUUUGGUCAAAACAUAGCAGAAGCUGGAGAUUUUCUGCAAACAAACAGUAAUGUGAGGCCAGACAUGUGUAGGCAAGAAGAGCAAGGUAUCUUCAGAAGGAAGUCAGCAGUAUUUCCAGGAAGAACCAGAAUAUAAUCCAUUCUCUGGGCUGUUUCUAGCCUUGGGUUUUCACCCAUAGGGACAGUGAAAUGGCAGCUUAUAUCAGGCUCUUGUAUACCCCAUACUAUAUCAUGGGUAGUUUUUUCUGUACUAGUGUCCUCAAGUUGUCCACAUAGGUUUCUCAUUCUAGAACAUGAGCUCAGUAUUCUCUAUUAACAUUUUUGUGGUUAAAGUCCUAAAUUGCAGUCUCUCCAGCUACUACAUAAGGAUACCCGACCUGAGUGCCUCUGACCUGACACAUGAAAACAAGAUUUGGAUGCCCACAUGGACAUUCCUUCAUUUAACAAGUAUUUGUUGAGUGCCUACUAUGCACCAGAUACUGGGAGUAUAAUAAUAAACAAGAGACCCUGUGUUCUGGGAGUUGAUAGUCUAAGGGGAAAAGGGACACUGACAAGCAGCCAGGGCUUGCAAUACAGUCUAUGCACAAUACUCUGUACUGUGAUGGGGCAUUAGAGGGGGCCACAGAGACUCUACUUUAGACCAGUAGGGUCAGGAAAGGCUUACUGGAGAAAUGAUGUCCAUGCUGAGACAUCCCAUUAGACAACGUGAAGGGAAACGGAAAACAAGGCAUGCUCCAGGCAUAUAAGCUAGGCAACUGCAUGUGCCAAGACCUGAAGUUGAGAGACAGUGUGGCCUGUUAAGGGAAAAUGAGAAGAGCAGGACAAGUCCAAGUAUGGGCCCAGCCCAGUUCAGCCCAUCUAUACAUGUGUUACCAAGGAAGAGACCAGAAAUUUGGGGGCACAGCUCAGGAUCAGCCCCCACCUGAUACUCCAUUCUCACCUCAAUUGUGGAUGUGAAGUUUCAGCUUCACCAGGGCUGCAAGGCCAAAUGGUCCUUGAACCCCCAAGCCCAGCAGCUCAGAAUCUCCCAGGCUUCAUGACGUAAGGAAGAGUAAGAGGAAAGUUGCAGCCAUGACCCGAGACCCUUCUUUGCCCUGCCUGGUUUCCUGCUCUGUGGUGGCUUCAUCUCAGCAAGAAGGUUGCCAUCUUGAAUGGGAAUGGACAUUGGGGUGGGAUGGGGUGGGUGUUGGGGAGGGAGACCCAAACACCUGUCCAAUACAGUCAAAGAAGCUGGUUGUCACCAUGUGAUCAAAAAAAGAGACAAUUGGCUGAAUUUCAGUCACAUUUUCUGGAGGUUUGUAGACGUCGUAGAGGUUUACAAGCCUCCACAAUAGGUAGAGGUAUCCGUCUGGGGCAGGUGCCCCAGACAGCCUCCUGGAAGUGAUUACUCCACUCAACAGCCAAGAGGCAUCUCCUAAGGAAUGUGUGUUGUUUCAACCUGGGAUUGGAAGAAGGGCAAAGUUCUUGAACAAUAUUUCAUGGUUUACAAACAUCUUGAGGUUUACUGAGCACUUGUGCACCAGGCUUCUGCUAGGUAUUUUAAUAUCUAGCAUGAAGUUGGCUUCUCAUGACAGCCCUACAGGAUAAGUAAUAUAUCCCAGCUUUCAGAUCAGGAAAUUGAGGCCCAGGGAGGUGUAAGAAACUUGCUCAAAAUCCACCUUGUUGAGUGACAGAAGGAGAAUUUAAAUCCUGACCUCCUGCUUCCUCUCACUUCCAUCCCUGCAUUAUCUUAUGUCACCAUCUCGAGAGCCAUGGUAAGGUUGGCAAUAUUAGUAGUUUCAGAUAAAAAAAAGCAAGGCUUGGAUAGGUGGCAGAAGGUACCAGAAACAGGUGUUUCCAGCUGAUAAGGUUGGGCCCGUCAGCACAUUUUCUGAGGCAGCUCCCCUUGCUGAGCACCACCUCCCACAAUUUCAUUCCAACAUUUUAAUGAAAAAUAAACGUCUGUCCACCCCUACCCUGUGCACUAGGCCAGAUCAAGCAAUUACACAGUGUUUGUGUGGGAAGAGGACUGGUUCUGAGAGACCAAGCUGAUAGGGAGGGGUGAUAGCAGAGAAAACCCAGCUGGCUCAGUUGGGUCUUCCCAGGACCCCUCGUGCCCUUCUCCCACUGCCCUUUCCACUCAGAAACCUGCCCCCACUGCCCAUCCUGCCUGGGUGAGGCAGGAUCCACCACCAGGGUCCAGGCAGGACCCUGGAACUAAGGAUUUUACAUGCUUUCCAACCCAACUCUAACACAAGGCCAUACAGCAUAGUGGUGAAGGGCACUACUCACUCACUCUGAACUUGGACAGUGGCUCCAUCUCUUAGAACCUGUGUUGUCUUCUGUGAGAUGAGGAUGAUAGUAGCACCCAGCACACAGGGUUAAAUGAAAAGAGAGUCUUGCCAGGGACAGUUACAUGACAAGUGCUCAGGAAACACUAGUCACUUGUCUCCAUUUUUGCUUUUUAUUGAAGUAUAAUGAACAUACCAGAAAAUGCAUAAGUGCAUAGCUCACUGUUUUGGACAAAUUGAACACACCUGUGGAAGCAGCACCCAAUUCAAGAAACAGAAUUCUCAGCACUACACCCCGACUAUACCUUCUGGUUACUAUUUCCUCCCAAGAAUAACCCCAUCCUUACUUCUUACAGCAUAGAUAAAUUUCACCUGUAUUAAAGAUGGUACUACUUGAGCAAAGACAUGGAAUCAACCCAGAUGCCCAUCAAUGAUAAACUGGAUAAAGAAAAUAUGGUACAUAUACUCCAGGAAUACCAGGCAGCCAUAAAAAGGAAUGAAAUCAUGUUUUUUGCAGCAACAUGAAGUUGGAGGCUAUAAUAUUAAGCAAAUUAAUGCAGGAACAGAAAACCAAAUACCACAUGUCCUCACUUAUAAGUGGAAGCUAAACAUUAAGCACAUACAGACAUAUUAUAAAUAUGAGAACAAUAGACAUUGUGGACUACUAGAG